rnacentral:rRNA from 1 species
UGGGGAAUUUUGGACAAUGGGCGAAAGCCUGAUCCAGCAAUGCCGCGUGUGUGAAGAAGGCCUUCGGGUUGUAAAGCACUUUUGUCCGGAAAGAAAUCCUUGGCUCUAAUACAGUCGGGGGAUGACGGUACCGGAAGAAUAAGCACCGGCUAACUACGUGCCAGCAGCCGCGGUAAUACGUAGGGUGCAAGCGUUAAUCGGAAUUACUGGGCGUAAAGCGUGCGCAGGCGGUUUGCUAAGACCGAUGUGAAAUCCCCGGGCUCAACCUGGGAACUGCAUUGGUGACUGGCAGGCUAGAGUAUGGCAGAGGGGGGUAGAAUUCCACGUGUAGCAGUGAAAUGCGUAGAGAUGUGGAGGAAUACCGAUGGCGAAGGCAGCCCCCUGGGCCAAUACUGACGCUCAUGCACGAAAGCGUGGGGAGCAAACAGGAUUAGAUACCCUGGUAGUCCACGCCCUAAACGAUGUCAACUAGUUGUUGGGGAUUCAUUUCCUUAGUAACGUAGCUAACGCGUGAAGUUGACCGCCUGGGGAGUACGGUCGCAAGAUUAAAACUCAAAGGAAUGACGGGGUC